rnacentral:rRNA from 1 species
UACGAAGGAGGCUAGCGUUGCUCGGAAUCACUGGGCGUAAAGGGUGCGUAGGCGGGUCUUUAAGUCAGGGGUGAAAUCCUGGAGCUCAACUCCAGAACUGCCUUUGAUACUGAGGAUCUUGAGUUCGGGAGAGGUGAGUGGAACUGCGAGUGUAGAGGUGAAAUUCGUAGAUAUUCGCAAGAACACCAGUGGCGAAGGCGGCUCACUGGCCCGAUACUGACGCUGAGGCACGGAAAGCGUGGGGAGCAAACAGG